rnacentral:rRNA from 1 species
GACGAACGCUGGCGGCGUGCUUAACACAUGCAAGUCGAACGGAAAGGCCCUGCUUUUGUGGGGUGCUCGAGUGGCGAACGGGGGAGUAACACGUGAGUAACCGGCCCUUGACUUUGGGAUAACUUCAGGAAACGGGGGCUAAGACCGGAUAGGAGCUCCUGCUGCAUGGUGGGGGGUGGAAAGUUGCGGCUGUUGGGGCUGGAUUCGCGGCUUAUCAGCUUGUUGGUGGGGGAGUGGCUUACCAAGGCUUUGGAGGGUAGCCCGCCGGAGAGGGUGACCGGGCACCAUGGGCCUGCGAUACGGACCAGACUCCAACGGGAGGCAACAGUGGGGAGUCUUGCACAGUGGGACCACGCCUGAUGCGGCGGCGUUCCGUGCGGAAAGCCCGCUUUCGGGUUAUAAACCGCUUUAGCCUGUGACGAAGCGUGAGUGACGGUACUGGGUAAAGAAGCACCGGCUAACUACGUG